rnacentral:RNase_P_RNA from 1 species
AGUGCCGUCCGGACGGCCGCGGCGGGCGCAAGCUCGACGAGGAAAGUCCGGGCUCCGCAGGGCGCGGUGGUGGGUAACGCCCACCGGGGGCGACCCCAGGGACAGUGCCACAGAAAACAAACCGCCUGGUCCGCUCGUCGGGCAGGGUAAGGGUGAAACGGCGAGGUAAGAGCUCACCGCGCGCUGGGUGACCAGCGCGGCACGGCAAACCCCACCGGGAGAAAGCUCAAAUAGGGAAGCUGGCGUGGCCCGCGCCGUUCAAGCUUCCGGGUAGAGCGUUCGAGCCCGUCGGCAACGACGGGCCGAGAGGAAUGGCCGUCGCUCCCCCGUUGGAGGCACAGAACCCGGCUUACAGGGCGGCACUUCCA